GCAGAUUAGUGCGUUAAAUUUAGAAUUUAUUUAUGUAUUUUUUAUACAAAUAAUAAUUUAUUUA
rnacentral:tRNA from 1 species